rnacentral:rRNA from 1 species
AUACGGAGGGUGCAAGCGUUGCUCGGAAUCACUGGGCGUAAAGCGCGCGCAGGCGGCUUGAUAAGUUGGAUGUGAAAGCCUACGGCUCAACCGUAGAACUGCAUCCAAAACUGUCAGGCUAGAGUCUGGGAGGGGAAGAUGGAAUUAGUUGUGUAGGGGUAAAAUCCGUAGAGAUAACUAGGAAUACCAAAAGCGAAGGCGAUCUUCUGGAACAGUACUGACGCUGAGGCGCGAAAGCGUGGGGAGCAAACAGGAUUAGAAACCCGAGUAGUCC